rnacentral:rRNA from 1 species
AAUCAGUUAUGGUUCCUUAGAUCGUUCAUACUACAUGGAUAACUGUGGUAAUUCUAGAGCUAAUACAUGCAAAAAGCUCCGACCGUAUGGGAAGAGCGCUUUUAUUAGACCAAAACCAAUGGGGUCGCAAGAUCCCUUUGUAUGGUGACUCUGGAUAACUUUGUGCUGAUCGCAUGGCCUAGAGCCGGCGACGUAUCUUUCAAGUGUCUGCCCUAUCAACUUUCGAUGGUAAGCGAUUUGCCUACCAUGGUUGUAACGGGUAACGGGGAAUCAGGGUUCGAUUCCGGAGAGGGAGCAUGAGAAAUGGCUACCACAUCUACGGAAGGCAGCAGGCGCGCAAAUUACCCACUCCUAGAACGGGGAGGUAGUGACGAAAAAUAACAAUACCGGACUCAAUGAGGCUCGGUAAUUGAAAUGAGUACAGUUUAAAACCCUUAACGAGGAUCUAUUGGAGGGCAAGUCUGGUGCCAGCAGCCGCGGUAAUUCCAGCUCCAAUAGCGUAUAUUAAAGUUGUUGCAGUUAAAAAGCUCGUAGUUGGAUCUCGGGUACUAGCAUGUGGUACGCUUAAUUGCUGUUACUACAUGUCUGGUCCUAAUCAACCGGUUGGCCGUUGAUGCCCUUUAUUGGGUGUUUUCGGUAGCCGGUACGUUUACUUUGAGAAAAUUAGAGUGCUUAAAGCAGGCCUUACGCCUGAAUAAUGUUGCAUGGAAUAAUAGAAUAGGACCUCGGUUCUAUUUUGUUGGUUUUGUAGAGCAUUGAGGUAAUGAUUAAUAGGGACAGACGGGGGCAUUCGUAUUGCGGUGUUAGAGGUGAAAUUCUUGGAUCGCCGC